AUUGAACGCUGGCGGCAGGCUUAACACAUGCAAGUCGAGCGGAGAUGAGGUGCUUGCACCUUAUCUUAGCGGCGGACGGGUGAGUAAUGCUUAGGAAUCUGCCUAUUAGUGGGGGACAACAUUCCGAAAGGAAUGCUAAUACCGCAUACGUCCUACGGGAGAAAGCAGGGGAUCUUCGGACCUUGCGCUAAUAGAUGAGCCUAAGUCGGAUUAGCUAGUUGGUGGGGUAAAGGCCUACCAAGGCGACGAUCUGUAGCGGGUCUGAGAGGAUGAUCGGCGACAGUGGGGCUGAGAAAGGGCCCAGACUCCGACGGGAGGCAGCAGUGGGGAAUAUUGGACAAUGGGGGGAACCCUGAUCCAGCCAUGCCGCGUGUGUGAAGAAGGCCUUAUGGUUGUAAAGCACUUUAAGCGAGGAGGAGGCUACUGAGACUAAUACUCUUGGAUAGUGGACGUUACUCGCAGAAUAAGCACCGGCUAACUCUGUGCCAGCCGCCGCGGUAAAAC
rnacentral:rRNA from 1 species